UGCCAGACUCCUACGGGAGGCAGCAGUGGGGGAUAUUGCACAAUGGGGGAAACCCUGAUGCAGCGACGCCGCGUGGGUGAAGAAGCGCCUCGGCGCGUAAAGCCCUGUCAGCAGGGAAGAAAAUGACGGUACCUGAAGAAGAAGCCCCGGCUAACUACGUGCCAGCAGCCGCGGUAAUACGUAGGGGGCGAGCGUUAUCCGGAUUCACUGGGUGUAAAGGGAGCGUAGACGGCCAAGCAAGCCAGGGGUGAAAGCCCGGGGCCCAACCCCGGGACUGCUCUGGAAACUGCGGCGCUGGAGUACGGGAGGGGCAGGCGGAAUUCCUGGUGUAGCGGUGAAAUGCGUAGAUAUCAGGAGGAACACCGGCGGCGAAGGCGGCCUGCUGGACCGUGACUGACGUUGAGGCUCGAGAGCGUGGGGAGCAAACAGGAUUAGAUACCCCGGUA
rnacentral:rRNA from 1 species